rnacentral:rRNA from 1 species
GACGUAGGGCGCGAGCGUUGUCCGGAUUUAUUGGGCGUAAAGAGCUCGUAGGCGGCUUGUCGCGUCGUUCGUGAAAACCCGGGGCUCAAUUCCGGGCUUGCGGUCGAUACGGGCAGGCUAGAGUUCGGUAGGGGGAGACUGGAAUUCCUGGUGUAGCGGUGGAAUGCGCAGAUAUCAGGAGGAACACCAAUGGCGAAGGCAGCUCGCUGGGGACGGUACUGACGCUGAGGCGCGAAAAGCGUGGGGGAGCGAAACAG